rnacentral:lncRNA from 1 species
GUGGUGUUCGUGUUGUUUAUUCUUUAGUUUUCUAUGUUGUGUCAUGUGUACUGUUGUUUUGUAUGUUUGUCUUUUUCAUUUUUAGCCAUGGCGUUGUCAGUUUGUUUUAUUUAUGAGUUUGACUGUUCCUUUGGUAUCUUCUUUCGUCCCUCUUUUCUCAUAUACCAAUAAAGAUUUGUUUUUAAAAUUUGAUUGUUCCUGUAAAAAAACUUAUUUCAAUCGGGAUAGCAC